AUUGAACGCUGGCGGCAUGCCUUAUACAUGCAAGUCGAACGGCAGCGCGGGAGCAAUCCUGGCGGCGAGUGGCGAACGGGUGAGUAAUACAUCGGAACGUGCCCAAUCGUGGGGGAUAACGCAGCGAAAGCUGUGCUAAUACCGCAUACGAUCUACGGAUGAAAGCAGGGGAUCGCAAGACCUUGCGCGAAUGGAGCGGCCGAUGGCAGAUUAGGUAGUUGGUGAGGUAAAGGCUCACCAAGCCUUCGAUCUGUAGCUGGUCUGAGAGGACGACCAGCCACACUGGGACUGAGACACGGCCCAGACUCCUACGGGAGGCAGCAGUGGGGGAAAUUUUGGACAAAUGGGCGAAAAGCCUGAUCCAGCCAUGCCGCGUGCAGGAUGAAGGCC
rnacentral:rRNA from 1 species